UGGGGAAUAUUGCACAAUGGGCGCAAGCCUGAUGCAGCCAUGCCGCGUGUGUGAAGAAGGCCUUCGGGUUGUAAAGCACUUUCAGCGAGGAGGAAGGUGGUGAACUUAAUACGUUCAUCAAUUGACGUUACUCGCAGAAGAAGCACCGGCUAACUCCGUGCCAGCAGCCGCGGUAAUACGGAGGGUGCAAGCGUUAAUCGGAAUUACUGGGCGUAAAGCGCACGCAGGCGGUUUGUUAAGUCAGAUGUGAAAUCCCCGGGCUCAACCUGGGAACUGCAUUUGAAACUGGCAAGCUAGAGUCUCGUAGAGGGGGGUAGAAUUCCAGGGUGUAGCGGUGAAUGCGUAGAGAUCUGGAGGAAUACCGGUGGCGAAGGCGGCCCCCUGGACGAAGACUGACGCUCAGGUGCGAAAGCGU
rnacentral:rRNA from 1 species